rfam:Gossypium hirsutum cultivar TM-1 unplaced genomic scaffold scaffold377.1, whole genome shotgun sequence
GCGGGGAUAGCUCAGUUGGGAGAGCGUCAGACUGAAGAUGUGCGUAUCUGUAAUCUGAAGGUCGCGUGUUCGAUCCACGCUCACCGCA